rnacentral:rRNA from 1 species
CAGUCGCCACGGUAAUACGGAGGGUGCGAGCGUUAAUCGGAAUAACUGGGCGUAAAGGGCACGCAGGCGGUGACUUAAGUGAGGUGUGAAAGCCCCGGGCUUAACCUGGGAAUUGCAUUUCAUACUGGGUCGCUAGAGUACUUUAGGGAGGGGUAGAAUUCCACGUGUAGCGGUGAAAUGCGUAGAGAUGUGGAGGAAUACCGAAGGCGAAGGCAGCCCCUUGGGAAUGUACUGACGCUCAUGUGCGAAAGCGUGGGGAGCAAACAGGAUUAGAUACCCCCGUAGUCCCUGUCUCUUAUAA